rnacentral:misc_RNA from 1 species
GGCCGACUACCGACGCCGUGUCCCGUCAUUCGUGUGGCUKACGCCGCUGUUGCCUUUUGAAGUGCUUGCGUGCCGGUACCCGACCUACGGGAAUUGGUGYUUCAUACACGGUUGCCUCGCGGUGGACRCCUUCGGGUGUUCCGCUGCGGCCAAGUGGCGCUUGUGGCGUUGCCUCGUGGUGCUAGCACGUUUACGUGUCUGGUGCUAUCAAGGCAGCCUCGCUCGUGCUGUUGGUUUCGGAUGUUGCUCACGAUAAAGGCUCAUGGCCCUUUUGGUUGCCUAGACCCGACCCUUCGAAGCUCCCUGAACCCGAACGUGUCGUAGAACGAUGUGUUGCCUCUGCCUCUCCACAGUUAGUGGUAGGAUACGCAGCAUGCUGGGCCGAUACUAGUAAGACGUAGGGGAGCUU